CCAUGUUGUUUUACCAUUCUGGUGUUUCACCUAAAAUUGUUUGCUGAUCUGUGGGUACUGUUCUUCUAUUCUAUUAUGGUCCUUCCAUUGUCAUUCAUUGCAAAAUUGUACAUUGCAGUACUGAGUGGACUUCUUAACUCCCUUAUCCCUUGUUCUCAUUUACUCUUUCCAAAGACUAUCUUUUACUCUAUUUUUCCCUUUCACUGGGGGGAAAAGAUAUAGAAAUGUGGAAACUGAACUUUUUAUGCAGUUCUCUUUCUCUUAUUUUGAGUAGACCCUAUAAGGAAAGUCAAAGACAUGAGCCAUACAGGGAUCAUUGAGUACUGUAAUAAGGAAUUUUGGACAGUGCCAAGUUUGAAUGAUUGGCCCUUAGCUUCAGUGAUUGCAGGCUAGUGGGUUGAGUGGUGGUUGUUGUGGGGUGAGCACAUAUGCUGAUUCGAGUCCUAACAACGUGAAAUUGCUCGUGGGGAUAGCAAACGAAAUACUGAAACAGAAAAAUGUAGAAUCUAUUCUUUUCGGUGGCAAGAGGGUUGGAGAGCAAAGCAAUUCCGAGAAACUCGACUAGUUUGCUACAAAACUUGUGCAAGAGCAUUAGAGGAGGAGUUGCCGUAUAGCUCCCACUGUUGCGUUCAAGCAAGCUUCCUUGAAGGCUUCCCAAACAACGCUCAAAUAAUCAAAAACUAAAGAUAUAAAAAGAAACUAACUAUUGUGCUAAAGAAAGAGGACAUGGACCAAAGAAGAGCCAAUGCAAUGAGUACUGACUGCUAUGCUGGAGAAACAUGAUAUUUGCAGAAACAUAUCAUAUGCAAAAACAUGUGCUUUAUGAACUAGAUGCUGAUAUUGACCACAAGGAGGAAUAUAACCAUGAGUGGCGUGGGAAUAUGUAGAGAGGUUGGCAUGCAUAUCAGAAAGUGGGAGAUCAAAUUUAGUUGGCUAGAUGAUGUAAAAUAAUUCAUGUUGAAUCACUAAUUCACUGACUUUUAUGUUUCAGAAUUGUCUAUAUCUAUUAAUUUCUUUUUGUAUAGGAUUUAAAAUAA